rnacentral:tRNA from 1 species
GGAGUUGUGGCUCAGUGGUAGAGUGCUUGCCUAGCAUGUGUGAGGCCUUGGGUUCGAUUCUCAGCACUGCUCCA